GAUGAACGCUGGCGGUAUGCUUUACACAUGCAAGUCAUACGGGAGUUAGUUUCGGCUAACUCCAGUGGCGGACGGGUGAGUAACACGUGAGAAUUCGCCUUUAGGAGGGGGAUAACAGGGGGAAACUCCUGCUAAAACCCCAUAUGCCUUCGGGUCAAAAGAGUAAUCUACCUAAAGAGAAGCUCGCGGCUGAUUAGCUAGUUGGUGGGGUAAAGGCCUACCAAGGCGACGAUCAGUAGCUGGUCUGAGAGGAUGAUCAGCCACACUGGAACUGAGACACGGUCCAGACUCCUACGGGAGGCAGCAGUGAGGAAUUUUCUGCAAUGGGCGAAAGCCUGACAGAGCAAUACCGCGUGAGGGAAGAAGGCUCACUGAGUUGUAAACCUCUGUUACCUAAGGAGGAAGAUCUGACGUUACUUAGGAGACGAAGCAUCGGCUAACUCCGUGCCAGCCGCCGCGGUAAAAC
rnacentral:rRNA from 1 species